AAGCAUACACACAAAUCGUCGGAAAGAAUGUGCUGACGAAUCCAUACGCUCUUUUGGUCGGAGAGGACAUAUAACCUAUAUGAUACACAAUUCUAGCGAUCAAAAAGAUCCCAGAGAGAAUUGGAAUAACUUUCAUAGAACUUCCCUCUAAGAAUACAGUCAAUGGCGUUCGAAUUUCCUCUGACGCUGCCGACUGCCACGAUGCCCAUUACAAUGGAGAGAGAGGACACAAAGAGGCAGGGAAUCGUGAGAGAGAGUCUGUCUGGUAGUGUUACCAAGGUCGAGGUGUCUAUGGGAAGGAAGAGGUAGCUCAGCAAGAACACAAUCGCCGUGAUAACAGUUGAUACAACGGAAUCACGUUCCAUUCGCCCUUUUUUCUCUUUAAAUGUUCUCUUUUCUUCUGUCCAUUUCGAUGAUUUCUCUGACAUGGUGCUGACAAAAAUGCAAUAUUUUCCAGGAAGUUGAUUUUCUAAACUGAACUUCGUAGAGGGACUGCUAGUAAUAUUAAUUUUUCUUUUCUUGCCUCGACAGUGUUCUAAAUUCCUUCAAUGCUUCGGCGUGCAUCUUGUAGAUGCCGGGUCCAAUAAAUCAUUGUUAGUUUUCCCUCAAGUUUGGGCCAUCGUGUUAUCAGGGACUACCCAGAUUAAAGUGUUUGGGGCGUAUGGAGGAGCGAUAAUGCAAACGUGAAAGUUGGGUACUAAAAACUAUUGUCAUCAGAUAACGUAAUAAAAAUUCUAGGGUAGG
rnacentral:sRNA from 1 species